UACAGAGACUGCAAGCGUUAUUCGGAUUCACUGGGCGUAAAGGGUGCGCAGGCGGUCGUCCAAGUCGCGUGUGAAAGCCCCCGGCUCAACUGGGGAGGGUCACGCGAUACUGGUCGACUCGAAGGCAGGAGAGGGUAGUGGAAUUCCCGGUGUAGUGGUGAAAUGCGUAGAUAGUCGGGAGGAACACCGGUGGCGAAGGCGGCGACCUGGGUAGAUACUGACGCUGAGGCGCGAAAGCGUGGGGAGCAAACAGG
rnacentral:rRNA from 1 species